UACGUAGGUGGCGAGCGUUGUCCGGAUUUAUUGGGCGUAAAGAGCUCGUAGGCGGUUCGAUAAGUCGGGUGUGAAACCUCCAGGCUCAACCUGGAGACGCCACCCGAUACUGUCGUGACUAGAGUCCAGUAGGGGAGCGUGGAAUUCCUGGUGUAGCGGUGAAAUGCGCAGAUAUCAGGAGGAACACCAGCGGCGAAGGCGGCGCUCUGGGCUGGCACUGACGCUGAGGAACGAAAGCGUGGGGAGCGAACAGG
rnacentral:rRNA from 1 species